rnacentral:rRNA from 1 species
GAAUGCUGACAUAAGUAACGAUAAAGCGGGUGAAAAGCCCGCUCGCCGGAAGACCAAGGGUUCCUGUCCAACGUUAAUCGGGGCAGGGUGAGUCGACCCCUAAGGCGAGGCCGAAAGGCGUAGUCGAUGGGAAACGGGUUAAUAUUCCCGUACUUGGUGUUACUGCGAAGGGGGGACGGAGAAGGCUAUGUUGGCCGGGCGACGGUUGUCCCGGUUUAAGCGUGUAGGUGUGUGUUCCAGGUAAAUCCGGUUCACUUUAACACUGAGGCGUGACGACGAGGCACUACGGUGCUGAAGCAACAAAUGCCCUGCUUCCAGGAAAAGCCUCUAAGCAUCAGGUAACAUCAAAUCGUACCCCAAACCGACACAGGUGGUCAGGUAGAGAAUACCAAGGCGCUUGAGAGAACUCGGGUGAAGGAACUAGGCAAAAUGGUGCCGUAACUUCGGGAGAAGGCACGCUGACACGUAGGUGAAGUGAUUUA